UGCAGGGAGAAGAGCCCUUGUGAAGGCCAUCCAUAAGCAUGCAGACCAAUGGCGCAAGACAGACAUCUCAGAGACCUGGUCCCAGCUCCCUGACAUCACACAUGGAGCCAUUAAAGGAUCCCGGGACACUGCCCUGCCUUUCCAUGCAGUGAGAAUUGAAGAAG